rnacentral:rRNA from 1 species
AUUGAACGCUGGCGGCAGGCUUAACACAUGCAAGUCGAGCGCGCGGCGGACGGGUGAGUAAUGUCUGGGAAACUGCCUGAUGGGGGGGGAUCCCGAGUGGAAACGGUCACUAAUACCGCAUACCAUGAGAUGUCCCCCGAUGGGAUUAGCUAGUAGGUGGGGUAAUGGCUCACCUAGGCGACGAUCCCUAGCUGGUCUGAGAGGAUGACCAGCCACCCUGGAACUGAGACACGGUCCAGACUCCUACGGGAGGCAGCAGUGGGGAAUAUUGCACAAUGGGCGCAAGCCUGAUGCAGCCAUGCCGAGUGUGUGAAGAAGGCCUUCGGGUUGUAAAGCACUUUCAGCGAGGAGGCGUUACUCGCAGAAGAAGCACCGGCUAACUCCGUGCCAGCAGCCGCGGUAAUUC